ACUGAACGCUGGCGGCAUGCCUUACACAUGCAAGUCGAACGGCAGCACGGGGCAACCUGGUGGCGAGUGGCGAACGGGUGAGUAAUGCAUCGGAACGUACCUUUCAGUGGGGGAUAACGUAGCGAAAGUUACGCUAAUACCGCAUAUUCUGUGAGCAGGAAAGCAGGGGAUCGCAAGACCUUGCGCUGAUUGAGCGGCCGAUGUCAGAUUAGCUAGUUGGUGAGGUAAAGGCUCACCAAGGCGACGAUCUGUAGCGGGUCUGAGGGGAUGAUCCGCCACACUGGAACUGAGACACGGUCCAGACUCCUACGGGAGGCAGCAGUGGGGAAUUUUAGACAAUGGGGGCAACCCUGAUCCAGCCAUGCCGCGUGAGUGAAGAAGGCCUUCGGGUUGUAAAGCUCUUUCGGCCGGGAAGAAAUCGCACGGGCUAAUACCCUGUGUGGAUGACGGUACCGGAAUAAGAAGCACCGGCUAACUACGUGCCAGCAGCCGCAGUAAGAC
rnacentral:rRNA from 1 species